GUUCUUUAGAGCAAUGCAAUCUCUUCAGUGACAAGAAUUUGUAGACGUAUUGAAUUUGCUUCUUGUCGAGCUCUAUUUCCCAAAAUUGCUAGGGCAUUGUGAGAAGCAUAUGAGGCAAGUUGGCUAUGUCGCUGGCACACCGAUAUUCUGCAGCUAUGCUUCGAAGCCGGCGCGUGGCAGCAGAUUCUGCUCAUUUCCAAGCGCUUGAAACAGCUUGGCAUGCUCAGUAUAUGGUAAGGAAAA